rnacentral:rRNA from 1 species
GACGAACGCUGGCGGCGUGCUUAACACAUGCCAGUCGAACGGAAAGGCCCUGCUUUUGUGGGGUGCUCGAGUGGCGAACGGGUGAGUAACACGUGAGUAACCUGCCCUUGACUUUGGGAUAACUUCAGGAAACUGGGGCUAAUACCGGAUAGGAGCUCCUGCUGCAUGGUGGGGGGUGGAAAGUUUCGGCGGUUGGGGAUGGACUCGCGGCUUAUCAGCUUGUUGGUGGGGUAGUGGCUUACCAAGGCUUUGACGGGUAGCCGGCCUGAGAGGGUGACCGGCCACAUUGGGACUGAGAUACGGCCCAGACUCGUACGGGAGGCAGCAGUGGGGAAUAUUGCACAAUGGGCGGAAGCCUGAUGCAGCAACGCCGCGUGCGGGAUGACGGCCUUCGGGUAGUAAACCGCUUUCGCCUGUGACGAAGCGUGAGUGACGGUAAUGGGUAAAGAAGCACCGGCUAACUACGUG